ensembl:lncRNA
CAGGAGAAAAAGAAGACAGGAGACAAGAUAUAAUAGAAUCAUAGAAUCAUGAAGGCUGGAAAAGACCUUCAAGAUCAGCUAGGCCAACCCUCAACCCAUCACCACCUCUCUCAGCAUUGCCCAGAUACUUUGGAUUGCUCUGUGUAUCUGUUGUACACAAAGAAGCUUUCAGAUGCCAGCCAAACACACGAAGAUUGCAAGAGCAAGAACUUGGACAGCAGUGUAGAUAUCAAAAGAGACGGCAGCCCAGGCAGAAGACAUUAAUUUUUCUGCUAUAAAACUGCCCCCCUUGGACAAUCAGCUCACCUAGAGAUCUACUGCUUGCUCAGAAGAGGCUGUUGUGGACUUCUCUGGGUCCAGGACUUCACCAAUGGCCAGCUGACAACAAAGGCCUACCGAACAUCCCGACCAACGCUCCCCUCAGGGUCACC